rnacentral:rRNA from 1 species
UACGUAGGGUGCAAGCGUUGUCCGGAAUUAUUGGGCGUAAAGAGCUCGUAGGCGGUCUGUCGCGUCUGCUGUGAAAACUCAGGGCUUAACCCUGAGCUUGCAGUGGGUACGGGCAGACUAGAGUGCGGUAGGGGAGACUGGAAUUCCUGGUGUAGCGGUGAAAUGCGCAGAUAUCAGGAGGAACACCGGUGGCGAAGGCGGGUCUCUGGGCCGUAACUGGACGCU